AGGCAGCAGUGAGGAAUAUUGGUCAAUGGACGAGAGUCUGAACCAGCCAAGUAGCGUGAAGGAUGACUGCCCUAUGGGUUGUAAACUUCUUUUAUAAGGGAAUAAAGUGAGGGACGUGUCCCUUUUUGUAUGUACCUUAUGAAUAAGGAUCGGCUAACUCCGUGCCAGCAGCCGCGGUAAUACGGAGGAUCCAAGCGUUAUCCGGAUUUAUUGGGUUUAAAGGGAGCGUAGGUUGACAUAUAAGUCAGCUGUGAAAGUUUACGGCUCAACCGUGAAAUUGCAGUUGAUACUGUAUGUCUUGAGUGUACAAGAGGUGGGCGGAAUUCGUGGUGUAGCGGUGAAAUGCUUAGAUAUCACGAAGAACUCCAAUUGCGAAGGCAGCUCACUGGGGUACAACUGACACUGAGGCUCGAAAGUGUGGGUAUCAAACAGGAUUAGAUACCCUGGUAGUCCACACAGUAAACGAUGAAUACUCGCUGUUUGCGAUAUACAGUAAGCGGCCAAGCGAAAGCAUUAAGUAUUCCACCUGGGGAGUACGCCGGCAACGGUGAAACUCAAAGGAAUUGACGGGGGCCCGCACAAGCGGAGGAACAUGUGGUUUAAUUCGAUGAUACGCGAGGAACCUUACCCGGGCUUGAAUUGCAGAGGAAUAUAGUUGAAAGAUUAUAGCCGCAAGGUCUCUGUGAAGGUGCUGCAUGGUUGUCGUCAGCUCGUGCCGUGAGGUGUCGGCUUAAGUGCCAUAACGAGCGCAACCCUUAUCAUUAGUUACUAACAGGUCAUGCUGAGGACUCUAGUGAGACUGCCGUCGUAAGAUGUGAGGAAGGUGG
rnacentral:rRNA from 1 species